rnacentral:rRNA from 1 species
UACGUAGGGCGCAAGCGUUGUCCGGAAUUAUUGGGCGUAAAGAGCUCGUAGGCGGCUUGUCACGUCGGGUGUGAAAGCCCGGGGCUUAACCCCGGGUCUGCAUUCGAUACGGGCUAGCUAGAGUGUGGUAGGGGAGAUCGGAAUUCCUGGUGUAGCGGUGAAAUGCGUAGAUAUCGGGAGGAACACCAGUGGCGAAGGCGACUACCUGGCCUGUUCUUGACGCUGAGGCGCGAAAGCUAGGGGAGCAAACGGG